UACGGGGGGGGCAAGCGUUGUUCGGAAUUACUGGGCGUAAAGGGCUCGUAGGUGGCCAACUAAGUCGGACGUGAAAUCCCUCGGCUUAACCGGGGAACUGCGUCCGAUACUGGAUGGCUUGAGGUUGGGAGAGGGAUGCGGAAUUCCAGGUGUAGCGGUGAAAUGCGUAGAUAUCUGGAGGAACACCGGUGGCGAAGGCGGCAUCCUGGACCAAUUCUGACACUGAGGAGCGAAAGCCAGGGGAGCAAACGGG
rnacentral:rRNA from 1 species